UACGGAGGGGGCUAGCGUUGUUCGGAAUUACUGGGCGUAAAGCGCGCGUAGGCGGACCUGCAAGUCGGGGGUGAAAGCCCGAGGCUCAACCUCGGAACUGCCUUCGAUACUGCGGGUCUCGAGUCCGGGAGAGGUGAGUGGAAUUCCUGGUGUAGCGGUGAAAUGCGUAGAUAUCAGGAGGAACACCUGUGGCGAAAGCGGCUCACUGGACCAUAACUGACGCUGAUGCACGAAAGCUAGGGGAGCAAACAGG
rnacentral:rRNA from 1 species